CAUUAGAUAACUAAAAGUUAGUAUUGGAAUUUUAAACCAUUAAAUAAUAGUUUAACGUCUAUUUCUAAUGA
rnacentral:tRNA from 1 species